AAUUCACUAACUAUUUAAUCUUUGUGCAGAUCCAUCCUGUAUUGAUGUUGAUUGGCUUCAUUAUCUUGGGAGGUGAAGCCAUUAUGAGCUACAAGUAAUUGCCUCUGAGGAAAGAAGUCAAGAAAGUAGUACAUCUUGUGCUUCAUGCCAUUGCACUGAUUCUGGGAAUUAUUGGGAUCUAUGCGGCAUUCAAGUAUCAUAAUGAGAGUUCAAUAGCUAAUCUCUACAGCUUGCAUUCUUGGCUUGGGAUUGGAAUCAUUGUCCUCUAUGGCAUUCAGUGGAUAUAUGGUUUUGUGGUAUUCUUCUACCCUGGAGGAGCGGCC